rnacentral:rRNA from 1 species
UACAGAGGUCCCAAGCGUUGUUCGGAUUUACUGGGCGUAAAGGGUGCGUAGGCGGUCGGGUAAGUCGGGUGUGAAAUCUCGGGGCUUAACUCCGAAACUGCAUUCGAUACUGCCGUACUUGAGGACUGGAGAGGAGACUGGAAUUUACGGUGUAGCGGUGAAAUGCGUAGAUAUCGUAAGGAAGACCAGUGGCGAAGGCGGGUCUCUGGACAGUUCCUGACGCUGAGGCACGAAGGCCAGGGGAGCAAACGGG